CUGGAUUUAUGGUUGUCGUGCAAGUCAUGUGGGAAGUAUUGAACGAGCAGGAAAUAUGUUCACCCCGUCGCUGGUGUGUCAGCAGGGAGACUGGAAGUGUGAGUUACUUCCCAAUAACUGUGCUGCUAAAGGAAAAGUCAUCAUCACAGCCACAACCUCGGGUCCCGGCACAGUCUUUGAUGGAGGGAGGUGUGAUGAGCUGAUGGAGCUCCGGUGUGUCUCAGCCUCACCUGCCGCCGAGCCCAAACCAAACUCCUAAAUCGUUCA